GGGGAAAUGGGGGGCAUGCCUAAUACAUGCAAGUCGAACGAACUACCCCAUGAACUGAAAGUGCUUGCACGGAAGGGAAUUGGAUUUUGUAGUUAGUGGCGGACGGGUGAGUAACACGUGGGUAACCUACCACACAGAAUGGAAUAACUAUUGGAAACGAUAGCUAAUACCGUAUAUGACCUUCGGGUUGAAAGGGGCGUAUGCCUCGCUGUGUGAUGGGCCUGCGGCGCAUUAGCUAGUUGGUAAGGUAAAGGCUUACCAAGGCGACGAUGCGUAGCCGGACUGAGAGGUCGAUCGGCCACAUUGGGACUGAGACACGGCCCAAACUUCUACGGGAGGCAGCAGUAGGGAAUUUUCCGCAAUGGACGAAAGUCUGACGGAGCAAUGCCGCGUGAGUGAUGAAGGUUUUCGAAUCGUAAAGCUCUGUUGUAAGGGAAGAAUAGCAGUAGUAGGAAAUGACUACUGUGUAACGGUACCUUACCAGAAAGCCACGGCUAACUACGUGCCAGCAGCCGCGGUAAUACGUAGGUGGCAAGCGUUAUCCGGAAUUAUUGGGCGUAAAGCGCAUGUAGGCGGCUCUUUAAGUCUGAUGUGAAAGCCUGUGGCUCAACCACAGAAUUGCAUUGGAUACUGGAGAGCUAGAAUCUUGGAGAGGUUAAGUGGAAUUUUCAUGUUGUAGCGGUGGAAUUGCGUAGAUUAUAUGUAAGGUAAACACCAAAUGGCUGAA
rnacentral:rRNA from 1 species